CCCUUAGACGUUCUGGGCCGCACGCGCGCUACACUGACCAGUGCAACAAGCAUCCGUCCUUGGCCGACAGGCCCGGGCAAUCUUUGAACGCUGGUCGUGAUGGGGAUAGACUUUUGCAAUUUUUGGUCUUCAACGAGGAAUUCCUAGUAAACGCAAGUCAUCAACUUGCAUUGAUUACGUCCCUGCCCUUUGUACACACCGCCCGUCGCACCUACCGAUUGAAUGGUCCGGUGAAGCCUCCGGAUUGGCGCGCACCUCGGUGCCGCCGAGAAGUUGGCUAAACCUCACCAUUUAGAGGAAGGUGAANUCGUAACA
rnacentral:rRNA from 1 species